AGGAAUCUCAUGGCUUCCCGAACCUUUUAAUUUCUUGCGUGCCUCCCCGCCGGGAGUGUCUUCCGCACCUCCAGGCACGAACAGAGUCACCACGGCACCAACAACAUAUGUAGCCCCGACACCCGCCACCGUCACCCACACGACCACAUCCUUCCCCUCUAGAGUUACCAACACUGCGCCAUUAACUUCAUCUCUUUCGUCUUCGUUCCUCUCAAGUUAUUUCUUUUCCAUCUUCUCAACCACUACGCCUACGCCUUUCACUCAACACACGGAGUCAUCCCUUGAAGCAGCGACCACCCCACAACGAUUAUCGAACUCGACACCAAGGAAUUCCUAUCUCUCGAAGAAACACUUUAAAUCUCAAGCGCCUUCUCCGUCAUCUACACCACCACUGACGCGAGUAACAUCAACACUCAAAACAACAACCCCAGCACCCUCCUCAUCUACGUCAUCUCGCUUACGUGCCAGAUAUCCGCCUCAGGCCAAGCCCACUUCCGCCGCAUCUUCAUUUCCCUUAAUUAAAAAACAUUCUUCAGCGCUCAAAUCAUUCGCUCUCCCCUCCACGCCUUCCACGUCUUCCCAGUCAUUUGCAUUCCCCUCGCCGCCCUCAUACCCGUCCGUCAAGUCACGCGCGCCCUCUUCAUCUAAGGCUUCCCCUCCGCCUCGCUCCUUAGCACCGCCUUCUACAACAUUUCCGUCAAAGCACGCUGUAAAAUAUGCAAAAUUCACACCUACAUCAUCACCGGUUAAGUCCGUCAAGAUACUUACGCCACCUUCCACAGAAUCUAGUUCGUUGCGUCCUAUCAGACCGCUACGGACGACUUCAUUUCCGAGCGUUAACCUUCCUAAACCACCUUUCCAAACCACCUCGGGGACCAACCGUAUCGGGCAAUCCGCAGUGAGUCCGCCCACCUCUUCUGUGUCAAGCACCGCGCGUCCCAUCCUUCCUAAAUAUCUUCGCAGGCCCACCACUGCCUCACCCCGACCGCCCUUAAAGAAACACAAUGUCCCCUCACGCUCUCCUCGGCCUCUCUCAUCUAAAGAUAAUUUCUCUCGACGAACACCGCAAGCUUCUCGAGGUGGCCUAUCCAGUAGUCCUUCUUCCCGCCUCUUAGCCAGAACGAGAGGUCUCUCCACACAAUCAUCUUUCCCGUCCUUCAAACACACGGCGGCGUCCCCACCCCCAAACACGCCGCCCACCAAGCCAAAGCAUACAGCUGUAGGGACUAAUCCAAAGACCUUUUCCAGCAUUUCAGCCCGGGUACUCCAGUCCCUCCCGAGCAGGAAGCAAGGCAAAGUGACACGAGAUAGAGAUAAUGACAAAAAGAGAGUAGGGGACAGGUUAGAUGGAGAAAUAGUAGGGACAGGAGGAAUAAUAGUAAAGGGAGAAGAAAGAGGAAGUGGAGGUAAAGGUAGGGGGGGUAAGGGAGGAAGUGAAGAGGGUAGAAGGGAAGGUAAGGCUGUGAGGAGAACACUUGGGGAGAUAAUGUUAGAAAGAAAAUUACAGCUGGCAAGACUGAAGGGCGGGGGAAAGGGGGCAGGGAGUGCAGGCCCAGGUAGUAGACCAGGAAGGUUACAGGAAAAGAACCAACCAGACAGAGGGAACAGAGUGGUAGCUGACGGUCAGCGUGGAGACCUCCCUGCCCCUAGGACGACGCCCCAGCCAGACGGCAGAACACGACACCGUGACGGCCGCACACACGACAACGACGACGAUGACGACGACGACAACGUUUCUGUGCCUAAGCACGGCAGCCCAACACGAAUGAGGAUAAGCUCAGUCGUCCCUCGCACCAGCUUCAGUUGUCCUGACGAGGCCAAAGGCGAAUACUUUGCUGACCGCGAAACUGGAUGUCAGGUGUUCCAUGUGUGCUGGGGAAAGAGGAGGGCGGCUUUCCUCUGUCCCGAGGGCACGCUCUUCAAUCAGCUGGUGCAGGUGUGUGACUGGUGGUACAACGUCGAUUGUGAUGCUGCGUCCGAGGAUGGAAAAAAGCGCCAAUCAGCUGCGGACAAAUGAGAGCCACGUUUCCCGCUGCAGCAACGCUCCUUUUGUGCCUGCCGACGCCGCCGCUUCAGGACACUAAUUCAGGAACGUCUCAUUCCCUCGCUCACGUGUUGAACGCUCAUGCCAGUGUUUCCUCUCACCAGGCUCGUUACAGCCAUUCUUAUUGUGUUCGGGUCAGUGAAUCAUAGCGGCCAAGAUCUGCCCGCCUGCGCGCCGCGACGGUCUCCGUGACUGGGGGCGAGGAGCGGCGCCACGUCCCGACCUUAGCCCCGACCACCCCUGCCCGGCACCCUCGCGGCGAAACUCGUGCUUCUGAGGCGCCAUACGGAUACCUGUGAUGUCAUUAUAGAUAUUCAUAAACAUUUCAAUAUGC